AAACCGUUCAGGGGUAAACCUGAGAAACCCAAAAGAUCGAAUGGGGAGAUUCAUCGUCAGCUCAUUUUGUAUAUAUGCAAGUUAUGAUAUGGGUUACUACUUGUAGUAUUGCCUGUACAUUCUUGUAUAUUUAAUUGCAGGAUGUUGUCGGCGUGCACUUCUCCCCUAGUAGGACGUCGCGACCCGUUGAGUGUCGGUCUACGGCCCAAAUGGUAGCCUUUAAUUUUUUAUUAAAUUAAAGACCUUUGGUGUUUCCUGGCUGGCUACUCGGCGGUAUUCGUACGGUAUUAAGCCGCAUUUAUGCGUUCAUAUCUAUCGCAAGCGCGGUCCAUUUUUGGUAGUACGGACCUAGUGCCGUCGCUAUAAUGGAUCAGCUGUUGGUUGUAUAGUAUUCUAAACUGGCUUUAAUAUAUAUACCGGUCAGCGAUGCUUCAGCUUUGGGUACUUUCAGGA
rnacentral:rRNA from 1 species